UGUGCACUCGUGGUCAAUUGACGAACUCCUCAGUGGACUGUGAAAUGGAGGCUACAUAGAAGUUAAACAGUAAUUUAGAGCAAAUAUCCUCAUUCAUGAAAAUGCAGCCGAGGACCUACAUUUCAAAGCGCAGUAUGCCAGAUCAGGUAGUAUUAAACUGUGUGGACGGUCGAGACAACAUCUCUCGGAGGGAUUGCCUUGUUUAUUGGAUCUGAGGCUUUGGUCGACACAGUUUCCCAGGUUCCCCCAGAGACGUUCUAUUGUCAUGCUCAGGAAGCUUCCAGAACCUCAAGUCACUCUGAAUGGGUGAGAAGGGUACAGUACAGCACAGAAGGGAUUGGUUCCCCUGAGAGAGUUCCAUUCUGCUGGAAGGCCAUGAGAGCCAUUCUACUUUGGGACUGUGGGAUCACACUAUUGGGGAUGAUGGAGGCAAGCUACAAAUUCUUGGUACUUGAAAAUUAAAGAAACAACCAUUCAGCUUUUAAAAUGUACAUGUUGACAUCAGUAGCCUAUAUUAUUUUGAAACUGUAAAAAUCACCUUACCUUGACAGAAGUAACUCAGAUGCUAAAAUUAGACCUCCCUCUUAACCCCAGAAUCCAAUGUUCACAGGUUAAACAUUUCCAUAUGACAUUAAUCCAAAUACUUAAUAGUUUAUUGUUUACAUGUUACAGUGUUCACUAUAGCCUCAUGACUCAACAUUCACCAUGAAAUAAUUGAUUGGUGGUGAGAAAAAUCAUGACAAUUACAUAUUUGUGUUACAUUUGUGUUAACAUGGAGUGGAACAAAGCUGUAUU